rnacentral:rRNA from 1 species
UACGUAGGCAGCGAGCGUUGUUCGGAGUUACUGGGCGUAAAGAGUGCGUAGGCGGUUUUCUAAGUUUGGUGUGAAAUCUCCCGGCUUAACUGGGAGGGUGCGUCGAAGACUGGAAGGCUUGAGUAUGGGAGAGGUAAGCGGAAUUCCUGGUGUAGCGGUGAAAUGCGUAGAUAUCAGGAGGAACACCGGUGGCGAAGGCGGUUCUCUGGGCAUUACCUGACGCUGAGGAGCGAAAGUGUGGGGAGCGAACAGG